CUACGGGAGGCUCCAGUGGGGAAUUUUGGACAAUGGGCGAAAGCCUGAUCCAGCCAUUCCGCGUGAGUGAUGAAGGCCUUCGGGUUGUAAAGCUCUUUCGGCCGGGAAGAAAUCGUGCAGGCUAAUAUCCUGCAUGGAUGACGGUACCGGACCAAGAAGCACCGGCUAACUACGUGCCAGCAGCCGCGGUAAUACGUAGGGUGCGAGCGUUAAUCGGAAUUACUGGGCGUAAAGCGUGCGCAGGCGGAUGUUUAAGCCAGAUGUGAAAUCCCCGGGCUUAACCUGGGAAUGGCAUUUGGAACUGGACAUCUAGAGUGUGUCAGAGGGGGGUGGAAUUCCACGUGUAGCAGUGAAAUGCGUAGAGAUGUGGAGGAACACCGAUGGCGAAGGCAGCCCCCUGGGAUAACACUGACGCUCGUGCACGAAAGCGUGGGGAGCAAACAGGAUUAGAUACCCUCGUAGUC
rnacentral:rRNA from 1 species